CGGACGGGUGAGUAAUGCUUGGGAAUCUGGCUUAUGGAGGGGGAUAACGACGGGAAACUGUCGCUAAUACCGCGUAGAGUCGAGAGACGAAAGUGCGGGACCGCAAGGCCGCAUGCCAUGAGAUGAGCCCAAGUGGGAUUAGGUAGUUGGUGGGGUAAAGGCCUACCAAGCCGACGAUCUCUAGCUGGUCUGAGAGGAUGACCAGCCACACCGGGACUGAGACACGGCCCGG
rnacentral:rRNA from 1 species